AAUGAUGAAUGUCAUAGAUUAGACAUAUAAUAGUUUAUUCUAUAAAUGAAAGUGUAAGCAUUCCACCUCAAGAGUAAUUUGGCAACAUUGGAACUGAAAUCAUUAGACCGUUUCUGAAACCAGUAGUGAAGUAUGUUGUUUAAUUUGAUAAUCCACAAAAAACCUUACCACAAUUUGAAUAUUUAUAUUAUUUUUCUCAUCUAUUAUAUUUUAUAAAAAUAAUACAUUUACAAGCGUUGCACGGCUGUCUUCAGUUAAUGUCGUGAGACUUUGGUUAGUUCCAUUAAAUUAACGUAAACCCUCACUUUAUUUUUAUAUAAAGUAGUUCCCCACUAGAUUGGAUAAGAUAACAGGGACUAAGACAAGUCAUCAUGGCCUAAAUAUUGUGGGCUAUA
rnacentral:rRNA from 1 species